GAUGAACGCUGGCGGCGUGCCUAAUACAUGCAAGUCGAGCGAACAGAUGAGGAGCUUGCUCCUCUGACGUUAGCGGCGGACGGGUGAGUAACACGUGGAUAACCUACCUAUAAGACUGGGAUAACUUCGGGAAACCGGAGCUAAUACCUGAUAAUAUAUUGAACCGCAUGGUUCAAUAGUGAAAGACGGUUUUGCUGUCACUUAUAGAUGGAUCCGCGCCGCAUUAGCUAGUUGGUAAGGUAACGGCUUACCAAGGCAACGAUGCGUAGCCGACCUGAGAGGGUGAUCGGCCACACUGGAACUGAGACACGGUCCAGACUCCUACGGGAGGCAGCAGUAGGGAAUCUUCCGCAAUGGGCGCAAGCCUGACGGAGCAACGCCGCGUGAGUGAUGAAGGUCUUCGGAUCGUAAAACUCUGUUAUUAGGGAAGAACAAAUGUGUAAGUAACUAUGCACGUCUUGACGGUACCUAAUCAGAAAGCCACGGCUAACUACGUG
rnacentral:rRNA from 1 species